rnacentral:rRNA from 1 species
UACAGAGGUCCCGAGCGUUGUUCGGAUUCACUGGGCGUAAAGGGCUCGUAGGCGGCCAACUAAGUCAGACGUGAAAUCCCUCAGCUUAACUGGGGAACUGCGUCUGAUACUGGAUGGCUUGGAUCCGGAAGAGGGAUGCGGAAUUCCAGGUGUAGCGGUGAAAUGCGUAGAUAUCUGGAGGAACACCGGUGGCGAAGGCGGCAUCCUGGGCCGGUAUUGACGCUGAGGAGCGAAAGCCAGGGGAGCAAACGGG